rnacentral:rRNA from 1 species
AGCGUACACGGUGGAUGCCCUGGCAGUCAGAGGCGAUGAAGGACGUGCUAAUCUGCGAUAAGCGUCGGUAAGGUGAUAUGAACCGUUAUAACCGGCGAUUUCCGAAUGGGGAAACCCAGUGUGAUUCGUCACACUAUCAUUAACUGAAUCCAUAGGUUAAUGAGGCGAACCGGGGGAACUGAAACAUCUAAGUACCCCGAGGAAAAGAAAUCAACCGAGAUUCCCCCAGUAGCGGCGAGCGAACGGGGAGCAGCCCAGAGCCUGAAUCAGUGUGUGUGUUAGUGGAAGCGUCUGGAAAGGCGCGCGAUACAGGGUGACAGCCCCGUACACAAAAAUGCACAUACUGUGAGCUCGAUGAGUAGGGCGGGACACGUGGUAUCCUGUCUGAAUAUGGGGGGACCAUCCUCCAAGGCUAAAUACUCCUGACUGACCGAUAGUGAACCAGUACCGUGAGGGAAAGGCGAAAAGAACCCCGGCGAGGGGAGUGAAAAAGAACCUGAAACCGUGUACGUACAAGCAGUGGGAGCACGCUUCGGCGUGUGACUGCGUACCUUUUGUAUAAUGGGUCAGCGACUUAUAUUCUGUAGCAAGGUUAACCGAAUAGGGGAGCCGAAGGGAAACCGAGUCUUAACUGGGCGUUAAGUUGCAGGGUAUAGACCCGAAACCCGGUGAUCUAGCCAUGGGCAGGUUGAAGGUUGGGUAACACUAACUGGAGGACCGAACCGACUAAUGUUGAAAAAUUAGCGGAUGACUUGUGGCUGGGGGUGAAAGGCCAAUCAAACCGGGAGAUAGCUGGUUCUCCCCGAAAGCUAUUUAGGUAGCGCCUCGUGAAUUCAUCUCCGGGGGUAGAGCACUGUUUCGGCAAGGGGGUCAUCCCGACUUACCAACCCGAUGCAAACUGCGAAUACCGGAGAAUGUUAUCACGGGAGACACACGGCGGGUGCUAACGUCCGUCGUGAAGAGGGAAACAACCCAGACCGCCAGCUAAGGUCCCAAAGUCAUGGUUAAGUGGGAAACGAUGUGGGAAGGCCCAGACAGCCAGGAUGUUGGCUUAGAAGCAGCCAUCAUUUAAAGAAAGCGUAAUAGCUCACUGGUCGAGUCGGCCUGCGCGGAAGAUGUAACGGGGCUAAACCAUGCACCGAAGCUGCGGCAGCGACGCUUAUGCGUUGUUGGGUAGGGGAGCGUUCUGUAAGCCUGCGAAGGUGUACUGUGAGGUAUGCUGGAGGUAUCAGAAGUGCGAAUGCUGACAUAAGUAACGAUAAAGCGGGUGAAAAGCCCGCUCGCCGGAAGACCAAGGGUUCCUGUCCAACGUUAAUCGGGGCAGGGUGAGUCGACCCCUAAGGCGAGGCCGAAAGGCGUAGUCGAUGGGAAACAGGUUAAUAUUCCUGUACUUGGUGUUACUGCGAAGGGGGGACGGAGAAGGCUAUGUUGGCCGGGCGACGGUUGUCCCGGUUUAAGCGUGUAGGCUGGUUUUCCAGGCAAAUCCGGAAAAUCAAGGCUGAGGCGUGAUGACGAGGCACUACGGUGCUGAAGCAACAAAUGCCCUGCUUCCAGGAAAAGCCUCUAAGCAUCAGGUAACAUCAAAUCGUACCCCAAACCGACACAGGUGGUCAGGUAGAGAAUACCAAGGCGCUUGAGAGAACUCGGGUGAAGGAACUAGGCAAAAUGGUGCCGUAACUUCGGGAGAAGGCACGCUGAUAUGUAGGUGAAGUCCCUCGCGGAUGGAGCUGAAAUCAGUCGAAGAUACCAGCUGGCUGCAACUGUUUAUUAAAAACACAGCACUGUGCAAACACGAAAGUGGACGUAUACGGUGUGACGCCUGCCCGGUGCCGGAAGGUUAAUUGAUGGGGUUAGCGCAAGCGAAGCUCUUGAUCGAAGCCCCGGUAAACGGCGGCCGUAACUAUAACGGUCCUAAGGUAGCGAAAUUCCUUGUCGGGUAAGUUCCGACCUGCACGAAUGGCGUAAUGAUGGCCAGGCUGUCUCCACCCGAGACUCAGUGAAAUUGAACUCGCUGUGAAGAUGCAGUGUACCCGCGGCAAGACGGAAAGACCCCGUGAACCUUUACUAUAGCUUGACACUGAACAUUGAGCCUUGAUGUGUAGGAUAGGUGGGAGGCUUUGAAGUGUGGACGCCAGUCUGCAUGGAGCCGACCUUGAAAUACCACCCUUUAAUGUUUGAUGUUCUAACGUUGACCCGUUAUCCGGGUUGCGGACAGUGUCUGGUGGGUAGUUUGACUGGGGCGGUCUCCUCCUAAAGAGUAACGGAGGAGCACGAAGGUUGGCUAAUCCUGGUCGGACAUCAGGAGGUUAGUGCAAUGGCAUAAGCCAGCUUGACUGCGAGCGUGACGGCGCGAGCAGGUGCGAAAGCAGGUCAUAGUGAUCCGGUGGUUCUGAAUGGAAGGGCCAUCGCUCAACGGAUAAAAGGUACUCCGGGGAUAACAGGCUGAUACCGCCCAAGAGUUCAUAUCGACGGCGGUGUUUGGCACCUCGAUGUCGGCUCAUCACAUCCUGGGGCUGAAGUAGGUCCCAAGGGUAUGGCUGUUCGCCAUUUAAAGUGGUACGCGAGCUGGGUUUAGAACGUCGUGAGACAGUUCGGUCCCUAUCUGCCGUGGGCGCUGGAGAACUGAGGGGGGCUGCUCCUAGUACGAGAGGACCGGAGUGGACGCAUCACUGGUGUUCGGGUUGUCAUGCCAAUGGCACUGCCCGGUAGCUAAAUGCGGAAGAGAUAAGUGCUGAAAGCAUCUAAGCACGAAACUUGCCCCGAGAUGAGUUCUCCCUGACUCCUUGA